AGAUCAGGAUUGCCCAACAGCUUGGACUUCUGGGAAAAAAUAAUUAAUUUGGUGUGAACAUUUUUGACUUACAGAAAUCAAAGGUUGUCUGUCUGAAUUUAGGCCAAACAUAGCCUGCACUUCUGUCUCCAUACAAAUCACAGAAUUUUUUAUAACUGAUAGAAGAGGGGGAAAAGGGUCUACCCCCUUUGGAACUAUCAAAAUCACUAUGAAUUUGGAUUAAUAGCCAUUUAAUUGACUGGAGUGGAGAGGUAAAAAUGUGUGUUUGUUUUAUGAUACGGCUGAUGCCGGAUGCGCCUCAGAGGUAUCUUUGAACCUUACAGGACGGGCGGUUUUGCUGCAUAGCUGGAAGCCCCAUAGAGGCUGUAACAACUGGGCCACUCUCUCUAUUCACCGAGAGAGGGGAGAGCACUGCUGGUGGAGGAGGCGAGGAGAGGGGGUGGCAGUGAGGGGAGGUGGGGGGUUUACCAGGGAUAGAGGGAGGAAGGAGGGAGGGUGGGAGAGGAGAAGAAACGUAUAAUCACCCAAACAACCAUUUUUACCCAUUUUACCCCCUCUGGAUCUGUGUCGCAAGUCUGCAGUCUGCCGUGAGGUUAUCUGUCUUUCACUGCGGAUACCGUGAAGGGAGGCCGGACCGAGGGGAAGACACCAAGAGUUUCAGAUGAUGUCCAGUACGCCAAGGCUGCUCCAGCCAAUAAACAAGGCGACUAACAAUGGAAGAGGGCCAGGAAUGAAGAGAGGGAGACAGGCUAACCACCACACCACACCACACGCAGACAGAAACAAAGGUGGAAGAGGACAUUUUAUCACCAGAAGUUGCCUGUGUUUUACGGCUAUCUUGAAAGACACUGUUUUGAAAAAGUAUGCACCUUAGCAUGUUUUUUUUACGUAUUUGUAUUUAAUAGUUAUAUUUUUUCAAUUUUUUCUGGGAAUAUCAAGGGAAAAUAGUGCAGGAUAAACCCCAUUGUUUUUAUAUUUGUGGAAUGAAAUUUAUGUCAGUUUAUUAAACUAAAUUAUAUAAGAAGUAGAUGGGAAAAUAUGCAGUGAUACUUUUUGUGUGCUCUUAAUUCUAAUUCAUGACAUUUAAGAUAAAAAGAAAAAUAGCUUCUUUGUUUGCGGACAAUGGAGCAGAAUAUGAUGUGUCAUUUGCUUCUUUCUCUGUCCCGCAAUAUGCUUUUAUAGAGUUGCCAUGUUAGAAUUUAAAUAGUUAUUCCAGGACUGAAGGCAAGAAUACUAUUUAACAUUUUUGUAUGUUCUUGUUACUGGUUCAUGUGUGCCUCCCUGAGCAAAAUUAAUUAUCACCUUUGCCCCAAAGAAAAUGCAAUUAAAAAGUAGAGGUAAUGGUUUUUUCUCUAAAAUGAAAUGUGACAAUGGUUUUGUCCCCAAUUCAUUGCUUUUAUUUGAUAAUGUGUGCAUCAGACAAAUUGUUGUAAAAUCUUAAUUUUUUUGGUCUAUUUUUUUUCUUCUUGUGGCUGUGUAUUUGCAUUUUAGAGUGGUAGGAUGAGGGUGUGUAUGUGUUGGUAUGUGCGUGUGUUUGAGAAAGGAGGGGGGUGGGAGAAAGAGAGAGACAUUAGUGACAGUCUGAUAAAAGAUGUCUCCAAAACCCUAAUUAAAAUUGAAUACCCCUGCAAAUGCAAAGCAACAUGCAAUCUCCAGGUAUUUCAUUUAGAGCAACUAUCUCAGUGCGAGGCUGUUUUUUAUGUCUUUCUUCAUUGCACACAAAUAGCUAUCCCCGCUUUCGUUUUAUUUUUCACACUUCCACAUCUGCCGCUGUCUUUGUCAAACCUCACAAGUUUGCCCUUCUCUCCCUCCCUUGAUGUCAGACACAAUGACAAAAUAAAGUCAAACUGAGUAACCCGUAGUGUGUUUCUUUUUCGUUCUUUUUUUUCUCCCCCAAAACACUUCCAAGGUUCAGUUCAUUAAACUGCUGGAAAAAAAUAAAUAAAUAAAAAAUCAGGGCUUCAAAUGCAAUAGUGAGCACAGCGUCAAGCUCUUGUAUUUUGAUAACACAAUCACGUUCAACGAGAACAACUUUAUCUUUAUUCCCUAACAAAUGCUGACAUUGGUUUCACAUUGGGUUUUAUUAUUCUUUCCAAUUAAAACAUCAUUUUAUAAAUACAUUGAUCGCCUGCUGUAUCAAUUCAUUAAUGAAAAAUAUACUUGACUUACUAUAGAGUAAUGCCUGAAACAGUU